rnacentral:rRNA from 1 species
CUGGCGGCGUGCCUAACACAUGCAAGUCGAACGGAGUUGCGAGAGCUUGCUUUUGCAACGUUAGUGGCGAACGGGUGAGUAACGCGUGAGCAACUUGCCCUUAUCAGGGGGAUAACCGGUGGAAACGCCGACUAAUACCCCAUGGCAUUGAGUUGAGGCAUCUCUACUCAAUUAAAGAAUUUCGGAUAAGGAUAGGCUCGCGUGACAUUAGCUAGACGGCGGGGUAACGGCCCACCGUGGCGACGAUGUCUAGGGGUUCUGAGAGGAAGGUCCCCCACACUGGAACUGAGACACGGUCCAGACUCCUACGGGAGGCAGCAGUGAGGAAUAUUGGUCAAUGGUCUGACGACUGAACCAGCCAUGCCGCGUGAAGGUCACGGCCCUAUGGGUCUUAAACUUCUUUUGCGAGGGAGCAAUAAGGCGCACGUGUGCGUCGAUGAGAGUACCUUGCGAAUAAGCAUCGGCUAACUCCGUG